ensembl:lncRNA
GUCGGGUGCUCCGCAGUUGUGACGUCAGCUGAGCUUUGCAGCUUUGCAGCUCUGCCUUGGAGCUUCGCCAUGUCCCUGCCCCUCCCCCACCCUUCUUUGUGACCUCAGCUUGUGUGAUGUAACCAGCAGGGAAUGUGGACCAGCCUGGGGUGCAGGAAACACAGCACCCCACGUGGAGAGCUCAGAGGACAGCGGACAACCUCCUAAAGGAGGCGUCGCCUGGAAAAGCAGGCACCGACCUCAGAGUGAAAAGCGGAUCUCAGGGAGCACCUGUGAGGCCUUCGGGAAACCCCGCCCUGGGAAGGGGAGGGGCCCGACACGCUUCCUAGCAGGUGCGCCCCCCACAGGACGCUCUUCCAGCUCUCCUUGCAGGUGAGAGAACAAGACCUCUUUCCUUCCCCAGCGCGGGCGCCUGCUUGCCUGCUGAUCGCCACAGUAGCGUGAGAUGGCCAUGCCUUACGCAGAGAAAAGACACUCGCGACGGGUGGACUCACUGCACCGUAGACCACUUCUGGACAUGAGUAGGAAGCUGGAUCCCCGACCCCUCCCCCCGAGAAAGGUGUUAGACUUCUGCCUUGCUCACCUCCUGGGUCCCGGUGCUGGCAUUGCUCCUUCCGCACAGGGGAGCUCAGGUAAGAGACGCUGGAACAGGAACCCAAGGCCUGCAAACAGAAGGCUGCCGCGAGUGUCUUCUCCUCAGCCCCUGCGUAAGGCAUGGCCAUCUCAGCCUACUGUGGCGAUCAGCAGGCAAGCAGGCGCCCGCGCUGGGGAAGGAAAGGAGGUCUUGUUCUCUCCCACUGAGCUCCGGUCGGGACUGAAGAGUGGAGAGGAGAUGCAAGGCCCUUGGAGACAACCUAGCGGACACCAGCCCUUUGUGUCUUGGCUGAGUGAAGCAGAUUUAUUCCGGGACUGCACCGGUGUCUCCAGAGCUCCAGCAGGGGCCGCGUCUCCCACCGGAAUCCCUGUCUCAGACCCGAGGGGCAGUGCGCAGAGCAUGAAGAUGGCACUGGAGGCAAGAAAGGCUGCCGCUGCUUCUGGGGCCCUAGGGAUGGAGGCGCCCGCUUGUCCCGGUGGCUGA